CUACGGGUCGCAGCAGUUAGGCAUCUUUUACAAUGCGCGAAAGCGUGAUAAAGUGAGCCAGAGUGCGUCUCAACAUGAGAUGCUUUUGCUUAGUGUAAAAAGCUAGGCGAAUAAGGACUGGGUAAGACGAGUGCCAGCCGCCGCGGUAAUACUCGCGGUCCAAGUCGCAGCCAUCUUUAUUGGGUCUAAAAUAUCCGUAGCUUGUUUUGUAAGUCUUUUGUGAAAUCCGGCUUCUCAAGAGUCGGGCGUGCAGGAGAUACUGCGAAACUAGAGACCGGAAGACGUGAGGAGUACAGUAGAAGUAGCGGUUAAAUGCGUUAAUCUCUGCUGGACUAACAACAGCGAAGGCACCUUACAAGUACGGUUCUGACAGUGAGGGAUGAAGGCUAGGGGCGCAAAAGGGAUUAGAUACCCUCGUAGUC
rnacentral:rRNA from 1 species